rnacentral:sRNA from 1 species
GAGAAUACAAACAGCACAUAUUACUACGUUUCCUACCUGAAAAUGUUUCCUAACACGUGGUCCGAUGUGGUGGUGGAAAGGAGGGAAGAACCGAAAGGUUGGGUAUAGAGGCUGAAAAACCAUCGCGUCAUUCCUGUUUCGGAGGUCACAGACUGCUGGCUCCUUUCUCUGCUGUUCCAACUUUCAUGUCAUUAUAAUCAGUAUAAUCAGCAAGUGCUCCUUUACAGAAAAAGCUAACCAGCAUUUUUACCAGUACCCAUCAAUAUACUUUAAAAGAUGCUAAUUAUUUUUCUAUUCUCUUUAUAAAGAUAAAUAUUAGUAAUUUUUAUUUUUGUCUUAUUUUGGAGUCAAACGAAUGCAGAGGUCACAAGCAAAUGUGAUCCCAGAACCGUUUUGAUCUCCAACAUGCUUAAAGUUUUCUGCCCAGGCACGGUGGCUCACACCUGUAAUCCCAGCACUUUGGGAGGCCAAAGCAGGAGGAUCACGCAAGGUCAGGAGUUUGGGACCAGCCUGGGCAACAUAGGGAGACCCCCUAUCUCUACAGAAUAAUAAUAAUCAUCAUCAUCAUUAAUAAAAAAGUUUUAAAAUUACUUGUCAACACUUAAAAACCAGAAGAUUUCUAUUUUUAAAAAUACAGACUUGGCCGGGUGCAGUGGCUCACGCCUGUAAUACCAGCACUUUGGGAGGGCAAGGCGGGUAGAUCACCUGAUGUCAGGAGUUCUAGACCACCCUGGCCAACAUAGCAAAACCCCGUCUCUACUAAAAAUACAAAAAUUAGCCGGGGAUGGUGGUGUGCGCCUGUAAUCCCAGCUACUUGGGAAACUGAGGCAGGAGAAUCACUUGAACCCGGAAGGCGGAGGUUGCAAUGAGCUGAGAUUGCGCCAUUGCACUCCAGCCUGGGAGACAAGAGUGAAACUUUGUCUCAAAAAAAAAAAAAAAAAUACAGACUUACAGUCCAGGUGCAGUGGCUCACUCCUGUAAUCCCAGCACUUUGGGAGGCCGAAGGGGGUGGAUCACUUGAGGCCAGGAGUUCAAGACCAGCCUGGGCAACAUGGCAAAACCCAUUUCUACAAAAAUACAAAAAUUAGCCAGGUGUGGUGGCGCAUGCCUGUAAUCCCAGCUACUCAGGAGGCUGAGACAGGAGAACUGCUUGAACCUGGGAGGCGGAGGUUGCAGUGAGCUGAGAUUGUGCCACUACCCUCCAGCCUGGGUGACAGAGCAAGACUCUGUCUCAAAAUAAAUAAAUAGGUAAAUAAUAAGUAAAUAAAUAGAAUAAGAACUUACAGUAAGAAAAAAGAAAAAACAGUCUGGGAGCAUUGGAAAUAACUGGUCAGGGCUAACCAGCAGCUGAUUCAUCCAGGCAGGAGGCACUCUCUGAUUUGCCGUGGCCCUGCCUGGUCUGCUUUCCUGUUUAAUGUCAUCUACCUGUCCCCUAGAGGCGUUUGAGUUUUUGACCCCUGCCUUUUGAAGGCCUUCCCAUAAACUGUGUGGGUGACUCUUUCUUUUAAAACCAGGUAUAUUGGUUAUACCUGGGUGAUGGGAUCACCUGUACACCAAACUUCACCCAUACACCAAACUUCAGCGACAUACAAUUUACCUGUGCAACAAACCUGCACGUGUACCCCCGAACCUAAAAGUUAAAAAAAAAAGUAUUAGUUAGAGAACAGGCUAUGCUGCUGCAACAAAAAGACCCAUGAAUACAGGAACCCAACCUGUGAGGCAUUUUCUUCUCUCUCAGCUAUUAGUGCAGAGACAGACAUUUGUGAUAGGCAGGUAGCUCUGCUUGCAAAGCCAUCUAGGGACCCUGCUUCCUUCCUUCUUGCCACUCUGCAGUCUGACUGAUGUCCUUGUCCACAUGGUCAGAAUGGCCCCCAGCCUGCAGGAAGGAAAAGAGGGAGGGAGGGGAGCAGAGAGCCCCGAUUGGAGGGUGAGACAGGAAGUUGCAUGGUCACUGCUGCUCCCAUCUUUGUAGCUGCAAGGGAGGCAGGGAAGGGUAGUCCCCAGCUUUGUGGCCCAGUGCCCAGCCCACAUUGAAAGGUUCUGUCACUAAAAGCAAAGGGUGAAGGUGUGCCAGGAACCAUAGUUAUUUCUCCCAUGGGGAGCCUCUGUGCUGUCAUGAAGUUGGGGUGCCCCCAGCCCCCAAGCCUGGGCGUUUCUCAGCUGCUUGAGGAGGGCCUUGAUCUGACCCUGUAUUGUGUUAGUCUUAGACUGGCUGGUGCAGCCGAAACCUCGAUGGCUUGGUGGCAAUGGCUGGCUCCUGGAUGGCCCUGAGGAGGUGUUACAAGGUACCUGCCGGGUAAAGCCCAGACCCUACAUCCAAGCCUCGAUCCCUCCUUCUCAGCUACUUCCAGAAAGCUGGCAGCACCAGGCCGGCUGUCCCCCAUGCACGGGCCCUUCAGCCAAACACUCAGCCCUCUUUGAUCCUCCCCACCCCAGCGCAGAAGGGCUGAUGGCUGGGGGCUUGGCCAGAAUCAAAGCCCAGUACAGAAUAAGGGCUUCGACUCUCCCCAAGAAUGGAGCCUCCUCCUGGAUGGAGAAUUGAAGGGGAGGGGGCUUAGUGUUGGUUUUCAAAUUCCUAGAAUUCUAGGGGGUUCACCGCUCUCUAAUGAUGAAGCCUCCCCGGGGGUGGGGGAGGUACCAGGAGGCAGAGGGCAGUUUCUGGAAGGAACAGCAUGCAGGUCGGGGGCCUGGAGGCCUAGGAGGUGCGAGCGGGCACCCUUGCACACCUGCAGCUGUGCUUCUGACUCCACGUCCAUCUGUGUGUUGUGUGACUGUGUCCGCUAGAGUGUGCGGCCGUGUAUGCAACUGUGUGGCUGUCCUUGUGCCUGUGGCUGAAUAUUUGUGUGUGUGUGUGUGUGUGUGUGUGCAUGCAAAAGUGUGUGACUGUAUUGUGAGUGUACAUGUGUGGGUAAGCGUGUGUGUAUGUGGGUGUGGAUAUGUGUGUGCAGGAUUUGUGUGUGGGGAUGAACGUGCGUAUAUGUCUGUGUGUAUUUGUGCGUCUGACUUGCUUGUGUAAGUGUCUGUGUCCCCAUGCGACUGUAGGGGUGAGUGUGUGUUUCAGGGUGUAUCCGUGAACAUGUCUAUAUGGAUGUUGCUGAGCCUGUGAGAGUAUGUUUGGGAUCAGGUGAGCUUGGACUGCCUGUGUUUGUGUGCGUGUUUGUGGGUGUGCACGUGUGCCACAUGCCGCUGAGUGAGACCCAGGGCCUAGCCUGGAACCUGGGGUACAGAGGCGAGGCCGCCUCUCUGGGUGAGGUGCGUUCCCUGCACCCGUCCCGGGAGUCUGCCAUCUAGACCCUAGCAUGUGCACCUGUCCUGGGAGUCGGCCUUCUAGACCCCAGCGUGUGUCCCUCCUGCAGCAGAGGCGUGCAGCACCACGGAGGAUGGGGCCGAACCCCUGCUCUGUCCCUCGGGCUAUGAGUGCCACAUCCUGAGCCCAGGUGACGUGGCCGAAGGUAUCCCCAACCGUGGGCAGUGCGUCAAGCAGCGCCGGCAAGCAGAUGGGCGAAUCCUACGACACAAACUUUACAAAGAAUAUCCAGAAGGUGACUCAAAGAAUGUGGCAGAACCUGGAAGGGGACAACAGAGGCACUUUCAGUAAAGCAACGGCAAGCAGGUUGCAAGAACAUUCCUCUACUUUCUGCUAAGCCUUGGAAACAGUUGGGAAAAGUAGUUUGACCCUCAAAGUUCACAUUCAGCUCAGCAGAGCAAGACCCCAGAGAUGCUUAGAGACAGGACACCUGGCCAUCAAUCCCUGUUUGGCCCAGCCUGGUUGGGUGACUUUGUGGGAGCCACUUAACAGCUCUGGGUCCCUGUUUUACCAUCCUGGGAGCAAGGCCCUGCAGCUCCACCAGACCUUUGCCCCGGGAAGAAGCCGCCGCCCAUGCAAGCAUUUCUGAAGCCCCUUUCUAAGACAAGGCUCAGCAUCUUGAUAUUUUUGACAGAUUUCUCCCAAGUCUGGCUCUGGGAGGUAUGUACCCAUCUCAAAUGUUCCCAAGAUAAAUUCAUCCAUCAGGAAAUGGAAAUGAACUUGCUUACUAAUGUGUGAUUGCUAGUUCUAGCCACCGGAUGUGCUGAGGCCUAAAUGUUAGCAGGUAGGGAGGAGGCCACAGAACAAUAAAAACAACCAAAUAA